AGGCUAAGAAAAACAUCAAAUUUGCAGCCCAUUGCUUUACAGCUUUGUAUUUGUAAUGACAUGAAUACUCAUACAUAUACAUUUCAUAUAAGUGUUACAAAAAAGAAAAAAGAUGUAUAGGGCAGAAACAAUAGAUUUCACGUAUGUCCCUUGUGCAUGGUCUUUUUGGCGCAACAGUAUAGUUACUCUAUUGUAACUUGGGUGAUGAGUCUGAAACAAGGAAAUGACUUCUCUGCAUGUGGGAAUAAGGCUGCAUACACCUAACCCCCUUCCAAACCUCAUAGUGGCUAGAGCCUCAUGCACAUAGUUUCAAUCUACUCUCCAUUCGAGUUUAUGCAUUAUUAUAUGUUAGACAUUCCAAUUCUCUCAGCAAAUCGAGUCUCUUAUUGCAUGCAAUGCACAGCCAGCAAUAUUUGCACGUUGCCAUGGCUCGCUGCCCUUUUUGAAUUCAAACUAAUGCUAGAACAGUAGGAAGAGAUGGAUGUUUGGUCCAGAACUUUUGGCCUUCUGGCUGGGUUAAAAUCCUUGAGUGCAUAGAUUCAUAAAACCCAAUGUUCUAUUAAAAAGGAUGAUAAUAACAACAAGAGGCUGCUAUGUGAAAUGUUAUAUAAUCUUGAGUACCCUUAAAUAUAGUUGGAUCAUUUACUGCACACCCUUAAACAUAAUCCCGAGCACUGAACAUUAACAUUCUCUAUUUCAUAUGCUCUACUACUUCCACUAGGUAUUUGGAUAAGAACAGCAGUAAUUUUAAAAUGCUUCAUGAAUUACCUGAUGUUUUGUCCUGUCCCACAUGGCAGUUGAACUAGGCCCAACAGGCUUGUGUUUGACUUGGCGUAUAUUGAAUUAUUUUAUGGGACUAUCCCCUAGUUACUUGGUAAAGACAUGCUCCGUAUCAUUGGUCUUUCAAUGCAGUUUCUAGUCAAGACUUCACUUUGCCAGCAGUAUGUGUAAGCUGAUGUUUUCUGGUUUUCUGGUUUGCAUGUCCCAGUCCACUCUAAUUAUUACUCGUCCAAACUUUAUCCUGUGAAGUUUUGGAUAGUUAUUUUAUUUUAUUGGUACCUGUCUUUGUCUCUUCCAUAGUUCUUCCUGGUAUAACAGCUUUUUAAUAGUACUUUUUGCCAGAAUUAUGUCCCUCAAUUCUUUCAAAUCCAUCAGGAGAAAUAGAAGAUAGUCAUGCAUAUUAGCUGAUGCAUCUUUUCUUAAAUUUUGUUUUAAAGUAGAAAGAAAUGAACCAGUGUCAUAUAGUUUCUGACUAGUUGCACGUCAUACUAUUUAUUAUUCCAUCUGUGUCUGAUCAAGAAUAUUUGCUAUCUGUCUUACGCAUGGAACUGGCUAUGACGAUGGAGCAGCAGGUCCAUCUGGUGGCUUUACCUUCAAUACAUGUUUGGCUUUGUCGCAUAUCUUGGCAGUAAUUAUCCAAUAAUUAAGCUCAAAUAUUUUUUUUUCUGUGGGGGAUGGGAUGGGAAGGGACUCAGAGACUUUACAGUUGCUGUCACGUAACAGAGGUUGAGUAUACUCAUGAUAGGCUGUCAUUUUUGGAUGGCAGUGCAAUCUUGAAUUUGCCAAUGUUUUAUCUUGAACGUAAAUUCUGCCUUAAUUACUUAUCAAAAUACCAUGUCUUGCUCGUCAAAGGCUAGCUUUCUAGUGGCAUUAUAUUUCUCAGAAUUCAGUCACUCCAUCUGCUAACAUGCCCUGACACAUAAUCAUAGUUUUCCUUCCAACAGUCACAUGCAAUAUGCAUCAUAUUGGUCAAGGAAAAAGAUGAAUGUCACAACAACUUUGACAAAGGGAAUCUCUCUCUCUCUAUAGAAAGAAAACUAGGUUCAGUUUACUUGGAAAUUCAAAUAUCAUCCAUUAAGAUGCUUCCACUAGACCUAUUAUAAGAUCAGCUACAUAANNN
rnacentral:lncRNA from 1 species